CCUACGGGGGGCAGCAGUGAGGAAUAUUGGUCAAUGGACGAGAGUCUGAACCAGCCAAGUAGCGUGAAGGAUGACUGCCCUAUGGGUUGUAAACUUCUUUUAUAUGGGAAUAAACUGUUCCACGUGUGGGAUUUUGUAUGUACCAUAUGAAUAAGGAUCGGCUAACUCCGUGCCAGCAGCCGCGGUAAUACGGAGGAUCCGAGCGUUAUCCGGAUUUAUUGGGUUUAAAGGGAGCGUAGGUGGAUUGUUAAGUCAGUUGUGAAAGUUUGCGGCUCAACCGUAAAAUUGCAGUUGAAACUGGCAGUCUUGAGUACAGUAGAGGUGGGCGGAAUUCGUGGUGUAGCGGUGAAAUGCUUAGAUAUCACGAAGAACUCCGAUUGCGAAGGCAGUUCACUGGACUGCAACUGACACUGAGGCUCGAAAGUGUGGGUAUCAAACAGGAUUAGAUACCCUUGUAGUC
rnacentral:rRNA from 1 species